rnacentral:tRNA from 1 species
GGGGUUGUAGCUCAGUGGUAGAGCACUGGCCUAGCAUGUGUGAGGCUCUGGGUUCGAUCCUCAGCACCCCA